rnacentral:rRNA from 1 species
UACGGAGGGUGCAAGCGUUAUCCGGAUUCACUGGGUUUAAAGGGUGCGUAGGUGGGCAGUUAAGUCAGUGGUGAAAUCUCCGGGCUCAACCCGGAAACUGCCAUUGAUACUAUCUGUCUUGAAUAUCGUGGAGGUAAGCGGAAUAUGUCAUGUAGCGGUGAAAUGCUUAGAUAUGACAUAGAACACCAAUUGCGAAGGCAGCUUACUACCCGAAUAUUGACACUGAGGCACGAAAGCGUGGGGGUCAAACAGG